rnacentral:rRNA from 1 species
GGCUGCAACUCGCCUACAUGAAGUUGGAAUCGCUAGUAAUCGCGAAUCAGAAUGUCGCGGUGAAUACGUUCCCGGGUCUUGUACACACCGCCCGUCACACCACGAGAGUUUACAACACCCGAAGUCAGUGGCCUAACCGCAAGGAGGGAGCUGCCUAAGGUGGGGUAGAUGAUUGGGGUGAAGUCGUAACAAGGUAAC